UAGCUCUUGUGCUCAACGAUCUGCUCUGACUGGAAAUUGGGACUCCCCAACACCAAAGCAAAGUAGAGUCUACAGAAUGAAACUGAUAAGUGGAAAGGUUUACCAAUAAAAAUGCAGAUGCCUUCUGGAGCAGAGGUGAAGGGAGACUUUCUUUGAAAGGAUGAAAGAUAUGGUGGAUCCUGGUGGUGAGCAAAUGGAUUUCUGCAGCUGAGAUCUAAUGCAAAUUCCCAGGCCAAGGUUUAAUUGAGAAAAUGGAUUAUUUUAUCUGCCCAUGCAGAUAAAGAGUCCCUCCCCAGCUUUCCUGCAGACCUCGUUCAAUUAUCGGAAGACUGCUACAAAAGCCUCCUCUUCUCCAGCCUGAGCAAGCCCAGCUCUCUCAGCCUGUCCUCAUGUGGGAGGCACUCCAGCCCACAGAUCAUCUUCAUGGCCUCCUCUGGACUCACUCUAACAGAUCCAUGUCCUUCCCGUGCUGAGGAUUCCAGAACUCAAUGCAGGGUUCCAGUAGAGUCCUUGUGAGAGUAGAAGGACAGAAUCAACUCUGUUGAUCUGCGGGUUGCAUUUCUUUAGAUGCAGCCCAGGUUACUGUUGGCUUUCUGGGCUGCAAGUGCAUGUUGUUUGCCCAUGCUGAGCUUCUCACCCACCAGCACCCUCAAGUCCUUCUCUUCAGGGCUUGUUCUAAUCCAUUCUCUGCCCAUCCUGCAAUUGUGCCUGGAAUUGCGCUGACUCAGGUGCAGAAUUUGACCUUCUUGAAAUUCAUUAGGUUGUUGAGAGCCUGUCUAGGUCUCUCUGAGGGAGUCCUGGGGACCUGAUGAAAAGUAUUGUCAUUCCUUUCUGAUCAUGUGGUUUAGUUUGCUUCAAUUAGAAAUAAGUAUGCAGGAAGUGGAAAGCAGAAGUGGCGUCAUCCCCACUUGGCUGUAGCUACAGCCUGGCUAGACAUCCCAAUGAAGGAUUUGGAAAAUACUCCGCAAAGACCUACAGUUUACGUGUACCCAAUGGGAAUUUUGCAUUCAUUUUGGCAGGACAUUAAUUUCAUCCCAGCAUUUAUAAAAUUAUGGUGUAUUAAAUCUGUUAUCUCCCAAGGGAAAUUUAACGGACAAUUGAAAUAACUUGGACCUCUCUCUGAAAAUAUUGCAUAGUGAAUUGUAUUAGUGAUAUGCCUUGAAAGAUUUCCUGUGGCAAAA